rnacentral:tRNA from 1 species
AGAGUUAGCUCAGAUGGUAGAGCACUGGAUAGUUAUAUCCAAAGGUCAAGGGUUCGAGUCCCUUACAAUUCUCUU